rnacentral:lncRNA from 1 species
GCCGAUUGGCCGGCCGCGGUCGUCUCCCGGGGCGGCGCGCGGCCGGCUAUUUUUAGAGGCCUAUAUAAGGGCGCGGCGCGCGCGCGGGGCCCGGCGGCCGCGGCCACACGGGCGCGGACGCACAGGCGCGGCUCCCGGGACGCGGGGCCGGCGCCUCCGACCCUCGCCGCUGCCGGCGGAGACCGGGCGCCCCUCGGAGGGCGGCCGCGGGUCGGGAGGGGAGUCCGGCCGCGGUCAGAUGCCUCCGGGGGGAGGGACGCCGCCCCCGCCCCCCGCCCGGACGCGAGUGCCCAGGGGGCUUCCCUUCCUAAAGAGCAAACCGAAAAGAAAAGCCCCUUCACCAGUGCCCACAGCCUGCCCAGCCGCGGGUCAGGAGCGCCACAGGAGGAAGCGCCGCACGACGGGCGGAACAAAGGCGAGCGGCGCGGGGACAGCGGCCGGGCCCGCCCCGCAGGCGCCCAGGUGCGCACAGGCCCCGCCCCCAGUCCCGCAGGCGCCCAGGUGCGCACAGGCCCCGCCCCCAGUCCCGCGAGCGCACAGGCCCCGCCCCCAGUCCCGCGAGCGCACAGGCCCGCCCCCCCGGGCCCGCAGGCGCACCCGGCCCAGCCCCCGGGCCCCGCAAGCGCCCAGGUGCGCACAGGCCCCGCCCCCAGUCCCGCAGGCGCCCAGGUGCGCACAGGCCCCGCCCCCAGUCCCGCGAGUGCCCAGGUGCGCACAGGACCCGUCCCCGGACCCCGCGAACGCUCGGAGGCACAAGGUCCCGCCCCCAGCCCCGCAACCGCCCAGGUGCACACAGGCCCCUCUGUCGGACCCCGCAAGCGCCCAGGUACAUAGGGCCCAGUCCCUGGCUCCGCGAGCGCCCAGGUGCGCACAGACCCCGCCCCGAUCUGCAAGCGUCCAGCUGCGCGCCACACCGCCACCUGCCCGCCCUCUCCUUCUGACCGAGAGCAAGAGACCAGGCACGGAGUCAGACUCCCAGUUAGAGUUGAUUGAAAGGGGCAUUUCGCUUGAGUGUGUAUUAAAGAGAAUAGAGGGAGCCGGGCAGACGUGGGGCGCCACCGGAGCUUCCCAGGGGCUUUAAAUAUGAGGCUCCCCAUGGGGCUUCGGGAGAGGGUAUCUGCCGAGCUGCGGUGGUGAGAGGCGGAACCGGACUGUGUUCUGGAGCUGUCGUAUAGAGAUAUAUAGAUAGAGAUCCUGCUAUCUCUUAGAUAAAAACCC